GAUGAACGCUGGCGGCGUGCCUAAUACAUGCAAGUCGAGCGAACAGACGAGGAGCUUGCUCCUCUGACGUUAGCGGCGGACGGGUGAGUAACAUGUGGAUAAAAUACCUAUAAGACUGGGAUAACUUCGGGAAACCGGAGCUAAUACCGGAUAAUAUAUUGAACCGCAUGGUUCAAUAGUGAAAGACGGUUUUGCUGUUACUUAUAGAUGGAUCCGCGCCGCAUUAGCUAGUUGGUAAGGUAACGGCUUACCAAGGCAACGAUGCGUAGCCGACCUGAGAGGGUGAUCGGCCACACUGGAGCUGAGACGCGGUCCAAACUCCUACGGGAGGCAGCAGUAGGGAAUCUUCCGCAGUGGGCGAAAGCUUGACGGAGCAACGCCGCGUGAGUGAUGAAGGUCGUCGGAUCGUAGAACUCUAUUAUUAGGGAAGAACAAAUGUGUAAGUAACUAGGCACGUCUUGACGGAACCUUAACAGAAAAGCACGGCAAACGACGGGC
rnacentral:rRNA from 1 species